GCCAGGUGUGGUGGCUCACGCCUGUAAUCCCAGCACUUUGGGAGGCUGAGGCGGGCGGAUCUCCUGAGGUCAGGAGUUCAAGACCAGCCUGGCCAACAUGGUGAAACCCCGUCUCUA
rnacentral:SRP_RNA from 1 species